GCCUUCGUGGUGUAAUGGUUAACACACUCGGCACGCAUUCGAAAGAUCCGAGGUUAGAGUCCCGGCGAUGGCA
rnacentral:tRNA from 1 species